rnacentral:rRNA from 1 species
CCGACGGUGAGAGGCGAAAGCUGGGGGAGCAAACCGGAUUAGAUACCCGGGUAGUCCCAGCCGUAAACGAUGUGCGUUAGGUGUAUCGGUGACCACGAGUCACCGAGGUGCCGAAGAGAAAUCGUGAAACGUACCGCCUGGGAAGUACGGUCGCAAGGCUGAAACUUAAAGGAAUUGGCGGGGGAGCACCACAACAGGUGGAGCCUGCGGUUUAAUCGGACUCAACGCCGGGAAACUCACCAGAUAA